rnacentral:rRNA from 1 species
GAUCAACGCUGGCGGCGUGCCUAACGCAUGCAAGUCGGACGGGCUCGGCUUUCGGGUCGAGCGCCGUGGCGGACGGGUGCGUAACACGUAGGCAACCUGCCCUGGGGUGGGGGAUAACCC